rnacentral:piRNA from 1 species
UCUAGGUCCUGUGGAUUCGACAAUGA